GUGCUUGCUUCAGCACAUAUACUAAAAUUAGAACUAUACAGAGAAGAAUAACAUGGCUCCUGCACGAGCUGUCAUUAAAUUCAUGAAGCAUUCCAUAUUUUU
rnacentral:snRNA from 1 species